GUUAGGACGUCAGUUCUCAUUUAUUUCUGACGGUCUCUCGGUUUGACGAACUUGUCAACACCAAAAGUAGGCCAUGUUUAUCAGUAAGAGUGUGCUCAUUCAAGAGUGAGUCCAGUGACUGUAAAAGAAUAAUUCUGCUCUAGAUGCUAUCCAGGCCCACUGUGUUUUAUUUGUUUGGUUUGUUUGGUUGUUGUAACAGCUCUGUUAAAUUCUAGAUUCUGAUCAGGAGGUGUUGAUUAAGUAAGGAAUAACGCACAAGAGGCUGUGCUAUUACACGAAAUUACAGCAUUAUAAUUAUUAUUAUUGUGGUCUGUGUGGUCUAAUGCCCCAGUAUAGUGAAGUGGACACUAUGCUGUAAAAACAGCACCGUCUUUCGGAUGAGACGUUAAACUGAGGUCCUGACUCUCUGUGGUCGUUAAAAAUCCAGGACACUUCUCGUAAACGGCUGGUGUGUGGUGUAUGUUCUGGCGCACUAUGGCUGCCGUCGCAUGAUCCACAUGGAUGCUACACUCUGGCAGCGGUUGAGGAGGACCCCCCGCCCCCCAUAAUCAAGGUUGGAGAAGAUGUGCAGUACGCUGCGGUGAAUUUCUCAAGAGAAAAAACAAAAAGAAAGACCACCGAGACCGAGAAUAAAGAAAUUCUUUACUCCAGUGUGGCAAACUUCGGCUUGGAGUGAUGCUCUCUUCUCUCUAUCCUCUUUAAACGUACAGUGAAUAUCACAUUUUAUUUACAACAAGAAAUAUUUAACAGUUAUCUUAACUGAUUUUGCCGUAUUUAUUAUAGAACCGUAAACACAUAGGGGAAGUGUAGCGGUUAAGGCUCUGGGUUAUUGAUCAGAAGGUCAGGGGUUCAAGCCCCAGAACUGCCAAGCUGCCACUGUUGGGCCCUUGAGCAAGGCCCUUAACCCUCUCUGCUCCAGGGGCACUGUAUCAUGGCUGAUUCUGCACUCUGACCCCAGCUUCCUGACAGGCUGGGGUAAGCAAAGAAAACAAUUUCACUGUGCUCUACUGUAUAUGUGUCCAUUAAAGACUCAUUAUGUAACAUAAUGUGUAAGGUUUAUUUAAAAGUUUCAGUUUUGAGAUUUUUUUUUGGAAAUCGUAGUUAAAUGUAUAAUAUUUAUGUGAUAUAUGUAUAAGCUGUAGAUCUGCCUUUAUAUUAUAAAACCUUGUUGUGAAUGAUGCAGUUGCAGUGACGACACAUUUGUCAUUUUAUUCAACACCCAAUUUAUUUACUUAAAACUUACUAAAAUCUUAUGAACUUAAACCAGAUGCCAAAUGUAUUUUAGAUAUUUUGUUCAGUAGUUUUGCAUUUUGGGGAAAGAAACAUUAUGAGAAAUACUUCACUGCGAUCUAUGUGCAAAUAUUGUUCAUUGCUGUGCAUAAACAAUGUAGUAUAUAUGUGUCUAAUUUUAUUAUCAAAUUCUG
ensembl:lncRNA